rnacentral:rRNA from 1 species
AUUGAACGCUGGCGGCAUGCCUUACACAUGCAAGUCGAACGGCAGCACGGGGCAACCUGGUGGCGAGUGGCGAACGGGUGAGUAAUGCAUCGGAACGUACCUUUCAGUGGGGGAUAACGUAGCGAAAGUUACGCUAAUACCGCAUAUUCUGUGAGCAGGAAAGCAGGGGAUCGCAAGACCUUGCGCUGAUUGAGCGGCCGAGGUCCGAUUAGUGAGUUGGUGAGGUAAAGGCUCACCAAGGCGACGAUCUGUAGCGGGUCUGAGAGGAUGAUCCGCCACACUGGAACUGAGACACGGUCCAGACUCCUACGGGAGGCAGCAGUGGGGAAUUUUGGACAAUGGGGGCAACCCUGAUCCAGCCAUGCCGCGUGAGUGAAGAAGGCCUUCGGGUUGUAAAGCUCUUUCGGCCGGGAAGAAAUCGCACGGGCUAAUACCCUGUGUGGAUGACGGUACCGGAAUAAGAAGCACCGGCUAACUACGUGCCAGCCGCCGCCGUAAGAC